CCCGGGCCUUGUACACACCGCCCGUCACACCACGGGAGUCGGCCAUGCCCGAAGUCGUUACCCUAACCAUUUCGGAGGGGGAUGCCUAAGGCAGGGCUGGUGACUGGGGUGAAGUCGUAACAAGGUAGCCGUACUGGAAGGUGCGGCUGGAUCACCUCCUUU
rnacentral:rRNA from 1 species